GGGGAAGAAAAGAGGGAGGAGUGAAAGUAAAGGGAUGGAAAAGAGGGGGGAGUGAAAGUAAAGGGGAAGAAAAAGAGGGAGGAGUGAAAGUAAAGGGAUGGAAAAGAGGGAGGAGUGAAAGUAAAGGGGAAGAAAAGAGGGAGGAGUGAAAGUAAAGGGAUGGAAAAGAGGGAGGAGUGAAAGUAAAGGGGAAGAAAAAAAGGGAGGAGUGUAAGUAAAGGGAUGGAAAAGAGGGGGGGAUGAAAGUAAAGGGAUGGAAAAGAGGGAGGAGUGAAAUAAAGGGGAAGAAAAGAGGGAGGAGUGAAAGUAAAGGGAUGGAAAAGAGGGAGGAGUGAAAGUAAAGGGAUGGAAAAGAGGGAGGAGUGAAAGUAAAGGGGAAGAAAAGAGGGAGGAGUGAAAGUAAAGGGAUGCAAAAGAGGGAGGAUUGAAGAAAAGAGGGGAACAUGUGAGAAUUGAUGUAUAGAGGUAUUGGGAAGGAUUGUUGGGCAUCAUUUCCAAGUUCCUUGAGUUCUACAGUUCUACGUACUCACUCUGGUGUUCAUUGUACUGAUCUGAAAAGGAACACAACUAGAAACACAAGUUGAAACACAACUAGAAGGCUACUAUAGUUCAACUCAAAAAUGCC
ensembl:lncRNA